rnacentral:rRNA from 1 species
UACGUAGGGUGCAAGCGUUGUCCGGAAUUAUUGGGCGUAAAGCGUGCGUAGGUGGUGUGUUAAGUCUGUCGUGAAAGCCCCGGGCUCAACCUGGGAAUGGCGAUGGAUACUGGCUCGCUAGAGUGCGGUAGAGGAGAGUGGAAUUCCCGGUGUAGCAGUGAAAUGCGUAGAGAUCGGGAGGAACAUCAGUUGCGAAGGUGGCUCUCUGGACCAGCACUGACACUGAGGCACGAAAGCGUGGGGAGCAAACAGG